AAAAAUUUAGUUAAUCUUUAUAACGUUAGUUUGUCAAACUAGAAUAAUUCAAUAGGAUAAUUUUUG
rnacentral:tRNA from 1 species